ACCAGGCUUUUGAAAGUCUCUUGUCCUUGAGCUUGAGCUUUGAAUUGAGGAGCCAUGGUCUCUUUCACUUAAUGUAUUUGGAGAGGGUGCCAGAUCAUGCUGAAUGCUACUGGGUGGUGAUUGUUUCUAGGCUUUUAAUUAACUUCAUCCUUUUGCCUAUACACAAAAUCCUUGGUCUCAGCAAAUACCAACGUACUUACACAUAGCUGUAUCAUAAACUACACGCCCAGCAGCUGUAGUACCAACCUGACUGGUAAAAAUACGAUUACUGAAAAGAAAUUUUUUGAAAUAUUUUUGGGUCUGUUUUUAAGGGUGUAUUGUAAUAGGGAUGUGCAGUUAGAUCAUGCCAUUUUAAAGUCACUUGGAAUAGCUAUAUACUCUGUGGUUAUUUUGCCAUUGGGAUUUGCAUUCAGAUACAUUUGGAGUUUGCGCUGUGGCUCAGUGGUUAACGAACCCGACUAGUAGUACCCUUGAGGAUGCAGGUUUGAUCCCUGGCCCCGCUCAGUGAGUCAGAGAUCUGCCAUGAGCUGUGGUGUAAGUCACAGAUGUGGCUCGGAUCCAGUGUUGGAUGUGGCUGUGGAGUAGACCAGCAGUUACAUCUCUGAUUCAACCCCCAGCCUGGGAACCUCCAUGUGCUGCGAGUGCAGCCCUAAAAAGACUAAAAAAAAUUUUUUUUUAAUUUAUUUUAUGUUCGAUCUUUAGGGAUUGCAUUAUUAUAAAAUGAUAUUGUGAUAUACAGUAUUUUCAUGGUUCCAAAGUCAGAUCUACAAAACAAGAGGUAUAUACAAAGAAGAUUCAUUCCUAUCCUUGUUUCUUCUUUCCUUUCCCUCACUUUGUAAGCAUCCAUUUAGAAACAUGAUAGAGGAGUUCCUGCUGUGGUGCAGUGGGUUAAGGACCCAGCUGUAGCAGCUCAGGUCACUGUGGAGGUGCUGCUUGAUUGCUGGCCUGGUGUUGCUGUGGCUGUGGCACAGGUUGUGUCUAUGGCUUGAAUUUGAUCCCUGGCCAGGAAACUUGCAUAUACUGUGGUAGUGGCCAAAACAAAAAACAUGAUUGUUUACUUACCUUUUUUUUACCCCCAUCAGCUUGGAUGUGUAUGACUUUAUAUCCCCCCUUCUUUUAAGUCAGUGAGGUUUUCACUGUGUCAUGUAGUUCACUUGCCCCCAACCGCCUUUCUCAUGUAUCUUUUGGUGUUUAGAAAGGUUUGUACUUUGGUUCUAAAACUUAACCUUUAUGCUCAACUUUUGCAUAAGAUGUCACUCUGCUCCUGUGUCGUCACUGUUUACUCUUCCCAGGAUGAGCAUGCUGACAUGGCUCGGAGCCUCUUCUCCCACAGCGUCAGUGUUGAAGUAUUGAUUCUUAGCCUCUUGGGAAACAUUUCCAAAUUUCCAAAUUGAGUAAGUUGGAUGUAGUUACACAGGUAGGGGGCCAGAAUUGAUUUAGAUGAAGUAAAUUAAUGUAGGAUCGCCUGAAUUAAUUUGAGUUUAAAAAAACGAUGAAGGAAACAAGUGACUUUUUUUUUUUUUUUAAACAAAGCUCUUACAACAAACAGCAGGUAACGUGCAGUGUGUGAGGCUACCUGCUUUUCCGUGGUUCAUUAUUGAGUGUCUUUUGGGCCUAGGUGCCCUGGGUUUAUAGAGACAGGACCUCACCUGGGGCGGAGCGGGGGGGAAUGGGGAUGUUUCCAUUGGGCCAAUUUGUCACUUAAAUGUUAAGAUGGUAUGUGAAGUACUGAGGGCGAGGCUGGGGCACCAUGAAUCAUUAAUAGCCUUGGCUCUCGGAAACCUAAUUUUAGUCAAGAACAAGAAGCACAUGCAGCAACACUAGGCUCUCGAUUCAGCUUCUUUCAUUUUUCAAGUGGACAGUGGUUAACCUGGAAGCACGGAAAGGGCAGAGAUGGGGGAAGCCGGGCUGAUCAGCUCUUGAUUGAAAUGCAUCUGUUUCUGCAAGGCAGGGCUCUAUCUUUGAUUCCUUCACUAAUUCAUGUUUGUCGGAUGCCUGCUGUGUGCAAGGCAUGAGAUGAAGGAUAAGGGGCAGAAAAGAGCCUUCUAGAGGGGACCUGUUAUGCAAACCUGUUCUGCAGAGGAUGGGGAGCUGUGGCGUGGAAAACUAACAUCUGUUCUGGUGCAGAGGGCAGGGAGGUUGGAACCGGCCCAGUGUGCCCUGAGCUGGCCCUGCUGCAGGGUUCUUCACAAGUGACUUGACCUUUCUGAUUCUUGUAGGUUUAAGUAUCCUAUUAGGUGGGGACAAACACAACUGUUCUUCAUUGUAGAAUGUGAGAAGGUACUAGGAAGAUGGAACAAAAUUGUAACAGAGGGUUAACGAUUCAAAUAAAUUGAGUUCUGAUCCCUGACCCACAAACAAGAGGAAAUCCCCACCUUCCAAGAGGAAAACGAUGUGCAUGCUAUUGGAGUCAGCAAUGCUUCCGCAGCAGUUUAUCCCAAGAAUGCAUUGGACUUCCCUGCAAAGGUAUUAGGUACAGAGAUGUUCCUGUGAACACUGGGUAUGUGUGGAUGUACAGUCACAUUGCCACAUAAACGUGCCUGUUCUCCCUCCCUACACACCCCCACCAGGCACGCAGGUGAUCCGCUUGGACAUAAACUGAAUUUCCAAUAGGGGAUUGUUCUUGCCUUUUUGAUAAUGACCAUAUAUUAUUUAUAUAAUAACAAAAGUAAUAAAAUUAUUUUUAAGAAGGCAGUUGCAACUUUCCCUUUUAGUGUCAUUUACCAAGAUUUGGAUUUUGGUACUGGUAGUAAAAUUUAAAGCAGAACAUUUAUAUUCUUUUCUAAAUUGAAAUGGUAUUAGUUUGAUUUGGCUUCGUAUUUGGUUUAUAUAUAAAGUUGGAUAACGACUGUGUUAGAGUGGAGGAUGACUGACUCUGGGGAGGCAUUCUUUGUGUGUGUGUGUGUCUUUUUAGGGCCAUACCUGUGGCAUAUGCAAGUUCCUAGGCUAGGGGUUGAAUUGGAGCUGCAGCUGCCACCUUAUGCCUCAGCAACGUGUGAUCUGAGCUGCAUCUGAGACCUAUACCACAGCUCACGGCAAUGCCAGAUCCUUAACCCACUGAGUGAGGCCAGGGAUCAAACCCGCAUCCUCAUGGAUACUAGUCAGGUUUGUUACUGCUGAGCCCCAGUGGGAACUCGUGGAGAGGCAUUCUUAAAGUUCUUUUAGUGGGAGAAGUGAAUUUGCCAAGUCUGGCUUAGUAGUAAAACCCUUUUUCUACUCUGAAAAUAACACUUUUUUUUAACCUGUGUAAAGUUUCAACAUGUUUUGUAUUUAAAAAACAUUAUCAGACACAACUUAGAAUAGAUUUACAAGGAGAUCCUGCUGAAUAGCAUUGAGAACUAUGUCUAGAUACUCAUGUUGCAACAGAAGAAAGGGUGGGGGAAAAACUGUAAUGGUAAUGUAUACAUGUAAGGAUAACCUGACCCCCUUGCUGUACAGUGGGAAAAUUAAAAAAAAAACAAAAACAAAAACAUUAAUACCAUGGUAUCGCUUGUAUGUAGAAUCUAAAAUAAAAAUGAUACAAAUAAACUUAUCUACAAAACAGAAAUAGAUUCACAGACAUUGAAAACAAACUUAUGGUUACCACAGGGGAAAGAGGUGGGAAGGCUAAAUGAGGAACUUGUGAUUAACAGAUAUACACUGUUAUAUAAGAAAUAAACACAGAGGCCCACUGUAUAGCACAGGGAGUUACGUUCAGAUCUUGUAGUAACCUAUAAUGGAAAAGAAUCUAGAAGAGAAUAGAUACAUAUGUAGAACUGAAUCACUGCUAUGCACCUGAAACGCUAUAAAUUAACUAUAUACUUCAAUUAAAAAAUGUUUUUAAGUAUAUUAAUCAUCUUCCUUUAGCCACAUGUUUUCAGAUUUGGGAUUGGCUUCUUAAAGCAACAUCUCUUAUAAUGUGACUUUCUUGAUCUUGCUUUGAAGAAUCUGGGGGAGAUUCUGUCCUGGUAGGCAGACCUGUGAACUUUCUUGUCCCUUUUACUGUUUUGUUUUUUUCCCUAGGGUAAUUUAAUUGGCUUGAAAACUUUAACAACUUCUAUCUAUGUGGAAGAUCUCUUACAAUUUAAAACUGGAAUAAAAUGUUUGCUGAUCAACACCUAUGGGAUAUCCUUUCUUAAACUUAAAAAUAAAAUGCUUAUACCUUACUUCUAGAGUAUUUUUCCCAAACAGAAUCCUUUAAAAAAAAAAAGUAGGUGUUCUCAGCAUGGCUUAGUGGAAAGGAAUCUGACUAGUAUCCAUGAAGAUGCAGGUUCGAUCCCUGGCCUGGAUGAGCGGGUUAAGGAUCUAGCAUUGCCUCAAACUGUGGCCUAGCUUGCAGAUGUGGCUCAGAUCUGGCUUUGCUGUGUCUAUGGCAUAGGCUGGCAGCUGCAGCUCUGAUUUGACCCCUAGCCUGGGAACUUCCAUAUGCUGCAAGUGUGUGGCCAUUUAAAAAAGAAGGAAAAGAAAAAAUAAACAUGUAGUUGAAAGAGCUUUUCCAAAAUUAAAACCGUAUCAGAGUUGGGAAAAAAAUGUCAGACUUUGGAUAAUAAAAGUUUACUCUAAAAGUACUAAAUAAAUGUGGACUGAAAGACAAGCUAAAUCAGUAAGCUAAAGUUAUUUCAUUGCCUUUUCUAAUAUUAAAAUUUAGUAGUUAAGGGAAUAUGUUGUAGUUAGGUUUUAAAGUAAAUUGGGCCAUGUAGAAAAUCUGAUUACCUUUAUUUUUCAGAAAUACUUGUCACAUAAACUACUUUCAACCACA
rnacentral:lncRNA from 1 species